GCAGGCGCGAAACCUUUACACUGCACGACAGUGCGAUAGGGGGAUCCCAAGUGCACAGGCAUAGCGCCUGUGCUUUUCGGUACCCUAAGGCGGUACCAGAAUAAGGGCUGGGCAAGACCGGUGCCAGCCGCCGCGGUAAUACCGGCAGCCCAAGUGAUGGCCGAUCUUAUUGGGCCUAAAGCGUCCGUAGCUGGCCGUACAAGUCCAUCGGGAAAUCCACCUGCUCAACAGGUGGGCGCCCGGUAGAAACUGUGCGGCUUGGGACCGGAAGGCGCGACGGGUACGUCCGGGGUAGGAGUGAAAUCCCGUAAUCCUGGACGGACCGCCGAUGGCGAAAGCACGUCGCGAGAACGGAUCCGACAGUGAGGGACGAAAGCCAGGGUCUCGAACCGGAUUAGAUACCCGGGUAGUCCUGGCCGUAAACAAUGUCUGCUAGGUGUGGCUCCCACUACGAGUGGGUGCUGUGCCGUAGGGAAGCCGCUAAGCAGACCGCCUGGGAAGUACGUCCGCAAGGAUGAAACUUAAAGGAAUUGGCGGGGGAGCACUACAACCGGAGGAGCCUGCGGUUUAAUUGGAGUCAACGCCGG
rnacentral:rRNA from 1 species